UAGGGAAUCUUCGGCAAUGGACGGAAGUCUGACCGAGCAACGCCGCGUGAGUGAAGAAGGUUUUCGGAUCGUAAAGCUCUGUUGUUAGAGAAGAACGUUGGUAGGAGUGGAAAAUCUACCAAGUGACGGUAACUAACCAGAAAGGGACGGCUAACUACGUGCCAGCAGCCGCGGUAAUACGUAGGUCCCGAGCGUUGUCCGGACUUAUUGGGCGUAAAGCGAGCGCAGGCGGUUCGUUAAGUCUGAAGUUAAAGGCAGUGGCUUGACCAUUGUACGCUUUGGAAACUGGAGGACUUGGGUGCAGAAGGGGAGAGUGGAAUUCCAGGUGUAGCGGUGAAAAGCGUAGAUAAAUGGAGGAACACCGGUGGCGAAAGCGGCUCUCUGAUCUGUAACGGACGAUGAGGCUCGAAAGCGUGGGGAGCAAACAGG
rnacentral:rRNA from 1 species